UACAGGCUUUCCAAAGGAAUGCCUGAACCUGGACAGUAGGAGAGCUGAGGCUGGUUUUCUGUUUGAGGCAUAGCUGGAGGGAACGUUUGAUGAUCUAUGCAAAAGAUAUUCUGGAAGGAAAUGAUUCUGCAGAGAGGGAAGUAGAGUCUGCUCUUCACUGCCACCUGCUGUUGAUUUCAGGGAAGUUUUCACAACGGUCAGUAGCAAAGUUUCAGCUUAAGAUGACUCCAUGUAGAGAAAAUAAUAUGAAAGCUCAUCUGUUCUAACAAUGCUGACAAUGCCUGGUAUGUGAGGAAAGAUGCUAAAACAAAGUCCUGGCAAGCCAAAUCCACAACACAGAAGAACAACAGAUCAAAGAUGAGGAGUGUGGCCUCGUUCCCAUAAUACAGCACACUGCUGAAAGAAUGGCCUUCAUCUACAAAAAAUAUGUGGAAGAUGUGUUAAACAGUGACAGAAAAGGUCUGCGCUACCCUCUGGUGACAGCAGAUUAAACAUGAAGUAUGCUAUGGAUCACACUAAGUAAAAGGUGUU
rnacentral:lncRNA from 1 species